GCUGGCGGCGUGCUUAACACAUGCAAGUCGAGCGGUAAGGCCCUUCGGGGUACACGAGCGGCGAACGGGUGAGUAACACGUGGGUGAUCUGCCUCGUACUCUGGGAUAAGCCUGGGAAACUGGGUCUAAUACCGGAUAUGACCACGAAUCGCAUGGUUUGUGGUGGAAAGAUUUAUCGGUGCGAGAUGGGCCCGCGGCCUAUCAGCUUGUUGGUGGGGUAAUGGCCUACCAAGGCGACGACGGGUAGCCGACCUGAGAGGGUGACCGGCCACACUGGGACUGAGACACGGCCCAGACUCCUACGGGAGGCAGCAGUGGGGAAUAUUGCACAAUGGGCGAAAGCCUGAUGCAGCGACGCCGCGUGAGGGAUGACGGCCUUCGGGUUGUAAACCUCUUUCGACAGGGACGAAGCGCAAGUGACGGYACCUGUAGAAGAAGCACCGGCCAACUACGUGCCAGCAGCCGCGGUAAUACGUAGGGUGCGAGCGUUGUCCGGAAUUACUGGGCGUAAAGAGCUUGUAGGCGGUUCGUCGCGUCGAUUGUGAAAACUUGCAGCUCAACUGCAAGCUUGCAGUCGAUACGGGCGGACUAGAGUACUUCAGGGGAGACUGGAAUUCCUGGUGUAGCGGUGAAAUGCGCAGAUAUCAGGAGGAACACCGGUGGCGAAGGCGGGUCUCUGGGAAGUAACUGACGCUGAGAAGCGAAAGCGUGGGUAGCGAACAGGAUUAGAUACCCUGGUAGUCCACGCCGUAAACGGUGGGUACUAGGUGUGGGUUUCCUUCCACGGGAUCCGUGCCGUAGCUAACGCAUUAAGUACCCCGCCUGGGGAGUACGGCCGCAAGGCUAAAACUCAAAGGAAUUGACGGGGGCCCGCACAAGCGGCGGAGCAUGUGGAUUAAUUCGAUGCAACGCGAAGAACCUUACCUGGGUUUGACAUACACCAGAAAGCCGUAGAGAUACGGCCCCCC
rnacentral:rRNA from 1 species